UCCAAUGUUGGGUUUCUCUCGCCAACCCUUCGGCUACCGUUCUCCCAAAAGCCUCCCCGUAACGCCUAAUUUAUGGUUACCUUACUCUCAUCUCCACUUCAUUACAUUCUCAGUUUAAGUCUCUGUUCCAAUUCUUCUUUUUGAAGGCGGUUCGAUUUCUCACCAAACAGAAGCUAAAAAAAAAUGGGGAUUUUCCAAUUAUACAUUUCCGACUUGGAAGAAAGGAGGCGAGCUUAUUGGGGGUGAACAUGGUAUUGCAUGACAAGAAGUCGACGUUGAUACGAGGUACCAUCACCUCACAUCAGCUUAGUGUGUUCUAUAUUGCUAGAAGCAAUAGUCACUUCAAACUGUGCGCCUCUCCUGUCUGUAUUCGAUUUACCGAGCAUACCAGCUUUGUCGAGGUGACUGAAAAAAAUCAGGUUUUGCAAGUAUGAGCAGCUAAUGGUUCUCGCUAACACCAACGUAGAUUUGCGCGAUAUUUUUGGUCAGGAUAGGAGUAUACACACCAUCUACAAUGACGAAAACGAGUAGAUACAGCGUGUUAUGGUCACGAUCCAUCUGGCCAGGUCAACCACUGUGUGUCAGUGUGUUUGAUAAGGUUGCGUGACAAGUUAGUACUCUUGGAUGUGGAGAUAAAAGAUCGCUUAGUCCUAAACGUCACAUUAGGGACACAGUUCUACUUUUAUCAUGAAAGCCAAGCCACUCAGUGUUUCUUAAAAGAGUCCGUUAUUUCUUCUUACAAUUAGUUACUACUUCACGAUUAUUACGGCGUUAGUUCCCACAUUAAACAUCCCAGAUGCAGGUUCUGCAGAGCAGAGAGUGGUUCCUCUGGUGGUAUAUCUUCCAAACUCUCUGAACUUAAUAUCUACGUUCUGAAUUCACCCCUACAUGUACGUUCACUGAAUAAGGAUCACUCUUAUUAUUGCAUUUAGCUCAGUUCUCAUGUGUACUGUCACAACAUGACCAAUUUACAUGUGUUGUUAUUUUUUUGUGGUCUCUCCUUUUUCAUACUGCUCACAAUUAACCAAUCAAAAUGUCUCUUACUUGAAAAUAAGAGACUUUUUUGCUGCUUGCUUUCUGCGUUUGCUCAUUUAUCUAGGCUUCACAUUUGAAAAAAAUAUUGUCAGCAACUGUGGAGUUUCUAAUAUAGCACCCCAUAAGUGAUGAUAUGUCUGUAGCUGUUAAACUUUCUAUGGUCCCAAAUCCAGUGGUGAAAAGCAGUUGUUCGUAUCACACAACCGGGCCAGAUGAUGUUCCAAUUAUUGAAGGAUGUCCAGCCAGCACUGACUCAGAGCCUGCACAUACUGAUUCAGUCCUGACCUCCACUGAGACUCCCAUUGAUGUUGAAAAGGCCCCCAGUUCAAAGUAAGCUCGAAAUACUGAUCACUCCAACUAUGGAGACUUGGAAUUUGCAAAAUUCAAUUCCAUUGUUUGUUUCAAAAUUUUAUGUUUUUCUUCAAUAAUGCUGUAAUCCACAUACUUUUACUUAGCACCAAAGUGUUUUUGUUUACUUAUCUUUGGUACAAUGCCAUUUAAAUAGCUGAG